rnacentral:lncRNA from 1 species
GUGUUUGAGCUGUUGGGCUAUUGCAGUGGAGUAAUCUGCGAGAUUGUAGAGAGAGAGAGAGAGAGGUAAGGGUUGUUGUCGGGUUAAGAAGAAGAGAGCAAUGGAUCACGGGUCUGGUUUAAUUAUUUCUUUUUUUGGUUCAACAAAUUUGGUUUAAUAAAUUUUUUUUAAAAAUGGUUUAACUGGUUAAUAUUGUUGGGUAAACUGUAAACCGAUUUAAACCAUAGUUCAUGUAUAAUUAAAUUUGAAACUAUCGGUUUGGGGAGAAAUAAAAUUUUAACUUUUAAUUCGGGGGAAAAUACGUUUUCAAUAUUCAAUUCAUGGAUAUUUAGUACGAGGUCAUAGUUUGGUGGAUAUCUGAUGCUAUACGAUAGUU